AGUGAACGCUGGCGGUAGGCCUAACACAUGCAAGUCGAACGGCAGCACAGUAAGAGCUUGCUCUUACGGGUGGCGAGUGGCGGACGGGUGAGGAAUACAUCGGAAUCUACUUUUUCGUGGGGGAUAACGUAGGGAAACUUACGCUAAUACCGCAUACGGCCUACGGGUGAAAGCAGGGGAUCUUCGGACCUUGCGCGAUUGAAUGAGCCGAUGUCGGAUAGCUAGUUGGCGGGGUAAAGGCCCACCAAGGCGACGAUCCGUAGCUGGUCUGAGAGGAUGAUCAGCCACACUGGAACUGAGACACGGUCCAGACUCCUACGGGAGGCAGCAGUGGGGAAUAUUGGACAAUGGGCGCAAGCCUGAUCCAGCCAUACCGCGUGGGUGAAGAAGGCCUUCGGGUUGUAAAGCCCUUUUGUUGGGAAAGAAGAGCAGCAGGUUAAUACCCCGCUGUUCUGACGGUACCCAAAGAAUAAGCACCGGCUAACUUCGUG
rnacentral:rRNA from 1 species